AUUUUGAGAAGGAAAUUUAGAAUAGCAAGAAAAAAAGUCCGAAUUCUGAGAGGUAAAUUUAGAAUUCCAAGAAAAAAAAGUCAGAAUUCCGAGAUGUAAAUUUAGAAUAGCAAGAAAAAAAGUCAGAAUUCUGAGAUGUAAAUUUAGAAUUCCAGCAUAAAAAGACAGAAUUCUGAGAGGUAAAUUUGGAAUUGCAAGAAAAAAAAGUCAGAAUUCUGAGAUGUAAAUUUAGAAUUUCAACAUAAAAAGUCAGAAUUCCGAGAUGGAAACUCAGAAUUCCAAGAAAAAAAGUCAGAAUUCCGAGAUGUAAAUUUAGAAUAGCAAGAAAAAAAGUCAGAAUUCUGAGAUGUAAAUUUAGAAUUCCAACAUAAAAAGUCAGAAUUCUGAGAUGUAAAUUUAGAAUUGCAAGAAAAAAAGUCCGAAUUCUGAGAUGUAAAUUUAGAAUUCCAACAUAAAAAGUCAGAAUUCUGAGAUGUAAAUUUAGAAUUCCAACAUAAAAAGUCAGAAUUCCGAGAUGGAAACUCAGAAUUCCAAGAAAAAAAGUCAGAAUUCCGAGAUGUAAAUUUAGAAUAGCAAGAAAAAAAGUCACAAUUCUGAGAUGUAAAUUUAGAAUUCCAACAUAAAAAGUCAGAAUUCUGAGAUGUAAAUUUAGAAUUGCAAGAAAAAAAGUCCGAAUUCUGAGAUUUAAAUUUAGAAUUCCAACAUAAAAAGUCAGAAUUCUGAGAUGUAAAUUUAGAAUUCCAACAUAAAAAGUCAGAAUUCCGAGAUGGAAACUCAGAAUUCCAAGAAAAAAAGUCAGAAUUCCGAGAUGUAAAUUUAGAAUUCCAAAAUAAAAAGUCAGAAUUUUGAGAAGGAAAUUUAGAAUAGCAAGAAAAAAAGUCCGAAUUCUGAGAGGUAAAUUUAGAAUUCCAAGAAAAAAGGUCAGAAUUCCGAGAUGUAAACUUAGAAUUCCGAGA